rnacentral:misc_RNA from 1 species
AAAUAGAACGCAGAUUGACAGGUGGUGAAACAAAAGCUUUUAAGGAUAUUAUGUGAUUCUUGAGAUUUGUCAACAGUAGAAGAGGACCAAGCUGAUGAAAAGAAAUUAUUAAACUUAUUAAGAACCCUAACAUUUACAAGGACACAGAGUCUAUCAAAUCAAAGCUAUGGAAAGUGGCUCAAGAAAGAAAGAAACCCUAGACACUGUUAGCCCCUGACGGGUACAUAUAUUAUAUACAACUGCUGUGGCCGCAAAUAUCAGCUGUUCUCUACAAAAAGUGGAAAAAAUA